UAAUAAUGUCCCUUGUGCAUGAGAGCAAUCUUGCACGUUCUCGCGCGCGUCUGUCCACUGAUGCGAGAGGCUCUCAUUUUCUGAAAUUAGAAGAUUUGGUGAUUAAAUGAUGAUGGACUUGUCAUCUUUUGCAUGAAAAAUUCCUGUAGAGGGACUAAAUAAGGAAUCUGCUAGAAGUGUUUCUGGACUUCCUGAGGUGGACAGGGGUGGCAGAUUCUGUCCUGCAGCCAGUCAGCUGCUUUGCUCCUGGAAGCUGCCCAGAUGCCCUCUGAACCCUGGCAAGGUGGCAAAGCCUUCUCAUAGGGUGGGCGGAGAGCAGCAGGUUGCCCAGGCUUAUCUCAGAAAAGUGGAUUUUUACAGGGGAAAGACAUUGAGUGCUUCUGAUGCAUUGCGUUGGCAAGAAGCUCUUGGUCUGCCCUAUUAUGCUUGGCCCCUCCUGCCAUCUCUCCUUCAGAAUUCAAGUACCUCUGUCUCCUUUUAGUGAAUGUCAGCACCAAACUCAGUGUAGAUGCUGAGAAGCAGGCCAGGUAAGUGAUAUCAGCAGAUCCCAAUGUUCUUGCCGUCUUUUGCUGCUAAUCAGCCCUAAGAAACCUUUUAAUCAUUUUGACAGCUCUUUUCUGUCCCUG
ensembl:lncRNA